GUUAGGCAUGGUGGCAUGUGUCCAUAAUCCCAGCUGAGAUGGGAGAAUUGCUUGAGUCCAGGAGUUCUGGGCUGUAGUGUGCUAUGCCGAUCGGGUGUCCACAGUAAGUUUGGCAUCAAUAUGGUGACCUCCUGUGAGUGAGGGACCAUCAGGUUGCCUAAGGAGGUGUGAACUAGUCCAGGUGGGAAAUGGAGCAAGUCAAAACUCCUGUGUAGUUAAGUAGUGGGAUCAUGUCUGUGAAAAAGCACUAUACUCCAGCUUGGGCAACAUAAUGAGACCACAUUUUU
rnacentral:SRP_RNA from 1 species